UACGGAGGGUGCAAGCGUUAUCCGGAUUCACUGGGUUUAAAGGGUGCGUAGGCGGGCAUGUAAGUCCGUGGUGAAAUCUCCGAGCUUAACUCGGAAACUGCCAUGGAUACUAUGUGUCUUGAAUGUUGUGGAGGUGAGCGGAAUAUGUCAUGUAGCGGUGAAAUGCUUAGAUAUGACAUAGAACACCAAUUGCGAAGGCAGCUCACUACACAAAUAUUGACGCUGAGGCACGGAAGCGUGGGGAUCAAACAGG
rnacentral:rRNA from 1 species